ensembl:lncRNA
AAGGGAUCUCAGUUAGUUUUCUCAAGCUGUCUGUUCUGAGGAGAGGGUCUGAUCUGAGGGGUUCUGGUCUGGGGGGUCUGGUCUAGGGGAUUUGGUCUGGGGGGUCUGGUCUGGAGCCACCAUGAGGUCCAGCACAUGGCUGCUCCCCCUGCUCCUUCUCAGCUCUUCCACCAGCGGUGCGAGCGGGCAGUGUGCGGAGGAGAUUAAGGUGCGCCGCAACCAGGUGCUCGUGGCUCAGGAGGGCGUGCAGCUGGAGGUCGAGUGUCCCGUCAGCUUCUGUUCAGACCCACCGCCCCGUGUCUCAUGGGUGAAAUAUACAAACGGGUCGGACAAAGACAAGCCCGGGUCCGUGUUGGAGAGCAGACCGGCGUGCAGAUCGCGGGGUCCGGCCCAGCUCCAGCCCUACCUGUGGGCCUCAGCGGGGGUCCUCCUGUGUGUGGUGGUGGUGGUCACUCUGUCACUUGUGUCCCUGCAGCGCUGCCCAGGAGACCCCAGGAGGACGGCGGAGUAUCAGGUAAGAGCAGAGAGCUGCUGUCACGAGAGGGAUGGAUGAACCACGACGAAGGACUGUAGCUGUGAUAGAGGACAGACUGUGAUGGACAGACUGAUAGAGGACAGACUGUGAUGGACAGACUGUAGCUGUGAUAGAGGACAGACUGUGAUAGACAGACUGUAGCUGUGAUAGAGGACAGACUGUGAUGGACAGACUGAUAGAGGACAGACUGUGAUGGACAGACUGAUAGAGGACAGACUGUGAUGGACAGACUGUAGCUGUGAUAGAGGACAGACUGUGAUGGACAGACUGAUAGAGGACAGACUGUGAUGGACAGACUGAUAGAGGACAGACUGUGAUGGACAGACUGUAGCUGUGAUAGAGGACAGACUGUGAUGGACAGACUGAUAGAGGACAGACUGUGAUAGACAGACUGUAGCUGUGUAGAGGACAGACUGAUAGAGAUAGAGACAGACUGUGAUAGAGGACAGACUGUGAUAGAGGACAGACUGUGAUAGAGGACAGACUGUGAUGGACAGACUGAUAGAGGACAGACUGUAGCUGUGAUAGAGGACAGACUGUGAUAGAGGACAGACUGUAGCUGUGAUAGAGGACAGACUGUGAUAGACAGACUUUAGCUGUGAUAGAGGACGGACUGUAGCUGUGAUGGAGGACAGCGUGUCAGGUGAUAAGGACAGCUUGUCAUGUGAUUGUUGACAGAACACAGUGGUGCCGAUGACUCAGUAUCCAUCAGCGCACUCUAACCCUGGACAAGCCCCUCCCAGUGACACGCCCCUCUCCCUUGCACGCCCCCACCGCCCGCCCGAGCCCCCCCACGCCCCACCGGACGUCUCAGCAUGGCCGUCUCUAUGGCAACCGAGGGGAGGAGGAGGAGGAGGAGGAGGAAGAGGAGGAUCAGUCCAUUUGGUACGCGGCCCUGAAUCACGAUGUGAUGCCAGUGGCUCCCAGAGUGCGCCGUAGAGAUAGCUUGCAGGACGUGGAGUACGCAGCCAUCCACGUAGCAUAGCGAUAGCUUGCAGGACGUGGAGUACGCAGCCAUCCACGUAGCAUAGCGAUAGCUUGCAGGACGUGGAGUACGCAGCCAUCCACGUAGCAUAGCGAUGGAGCUAGCACAGGGUUCAUAGCCUCAUCACUGGGCUAUCUUAUGAGUCAACUGAUUAGCCUAACCUCCUAGCUAAUCCACUAGCUAUACGAUUCGCUAAACGGUUAGCUUACACGUUAGCCAACCUAUGAGCUAAAAGAUUAGCUUACCUAUGAGUUAAUGGAGGAAUUCAGUGAUGAGCUAAACUAUGAGAUAACACAUUAGUUAACCUAUUAGCCAGCUGACUAGAUUAAUGAUUAUCUAACCUAUGAGCUCACUGAUUAACUAACCGAUUAGCAAAUCACUAGCUAACCUAUGAGCUCACUGAGUAACUAUACUGUGGACCAGUCAACACCACUGAAAUCACAACACAUACAUGAACCACAUCUUUGCGCUGUUUCUGUUAAAAUUAUUGAUGCAACAAUAUAAAUGCACACUGAAACCAUAACUCAUAAAUGGGUGUGAAAGAUGUUCACAACCCUUUGGCCUUCGUGUUGGUCUUUAUCUUAUGUUAUUAUCUGAAUAAGUUCUACUUUCCAGUUUGUAACCAUUGCCAUCGCAAGCAGUCCAUUGCUUUGAGCAGUGUAAUAUAUGUGUGUAUGUACAUUUAUAUAUAUAUUACAAUAGUAUGUAUGGCAUGUAAAAGAUUAUUACGUGUGUCAAUGAUUAUUCACAUGUUAAUGAAUACUCAACAUGUAACUUAGCUGAUAAUAAUGUACAUAUAUAAUAAUUAACAUGCAUAAUUUGCAGGUAGGCUAUAUGUAAAUUAUCAUUAUAUAUGUACAUUCACACUUUACAUGUAAAUGAUUGUAUAUGUAAAUUAUUUAAGUAUCUACAUUCAAGCUAUACUAACUAUUGUAUAGGAAUAUGAUACAUUAUUAUGAUAUGUUUAAUUAAUUACGACAAAUCAAUUAAUACCAUAUAGGCCUAUGUGAAUGAUAACAUGUACAUUAAUACUGUACAUAUAAAUUAACACUAUGUAAUUAUAUUUUUAACAUAUGUGUAAGUUAUUAACAUGUAUUGUCAUGAUAUAUAAUGAUGACUAUAUCUAAAAUGAUUACGAUGUAUGGUUCAGCAUCUUUGUAAUUUGUGUGUUUAAUACCGAAUGGUAUUAUGUAAUAUGUGUUACGUUAUUUUGUCUGUAUUAUGUUAUAAUGCAUGGACGAUGUGAUUAUGUUUGAAUUAUGUGAUUCGGCACAGCGGUCAUUACCCUGAAAUAAACCGGAAGAUUCAUGAAGACUAUAAAUGAUUAACGCUA